CAGAGCCACAGAGGGCCUGCUGGGAGGAGUUAGCGCAGGGAGAGGAUGGGAGAAACCCCUGGUUUCUUCUCGCUCCCCUUUCUUUCCCAUUAACCAAACACAGACUGAAUCCAGCUGAGGGGGGACCAUGAAAAACUUCACGGAAGGCCUGCCUUUCUGCAGCACAGGGCAGGAAAAUCCAGAGGAACAGAUCUGAGAACCAGCAGCCACGGGAUCUCUCUACACAAGACUGGCUGUGCUGCAAAUCAUUAUGUGGACCAGCCUGACCUUGAACUUGCGGAGUUGCCUUCUGUCUGCCUCUCCUUCCUGAGUGCUGGGAUGAAAGCUUCUCUCCAUGGUGGACAUGGCCCGGAAGCAAAUAAACCCUUUCCUCCCACGGUGGUUCUGGCCUUUGUGUUAAUCGCACUAGCAGAAAUGAAGUCAAACAGGAGCCUUACUCUAAGGAGUACAUGAUCUCCGCCUCCACGCAUGAAGACACGGAAGGGCAAGUGGAAUCUAUGCGGCACAGAGAGGAGGUGAGCGGUUAUCCGAGGAUGAGAUGUCUCCAGGUCUUGGCAUAAAUGAAGACUCUUCCCAUGGCCUGAACAUCUUUCUUCCAUCCUUCAAAGCCAUUGCUACACGGCAGCUCCCGGAUCAACGUGUUCCUCAUGGGAGUGAAUAAACAUCUCUGAGUCAGGAGGAGUGGAAAAAAUUCGCCCAAGAUUUACCCACAAAUUGGCUCUGAGAAAGCACCCCAGAACACUCCCAAAGCAUUUGUGCCAGGUUCCCUGGGCUGCUGGGUUUACUUGAGAAAUCAUAAAAUGACUUUUGUGUGUUUAUUCUUUGACAAUUUUAUACACAAAUGCAAUGCACCCCGGUCAAACUGUUGUCUUUUAAAUAUUUAUUUAUUUAUUUAUUUAUUUAUUUAUUUAUUUUUAUGAGUGUGGGUGGUUUGAAUGUAUGUAUAUAUAUAUAUCAUGUGCUCACAUGCCUGGUACCCACAGAGUCCAGAAGAUCCCAUGAGACUAGAGUUACAGAUGGUACCAAGCUGCCACGUGGAUGCUGGGAAUUGAACUCUGGUCCCCUAGAAGAACAACCAGUGCUCUCAACCACUGAGCCAUCUCCUACCCCUUGAAUUCUUUUUCACAAAUCAAAGUGUCCUCAAGGACGACAACAUUCUCAGGUGUGUGUGCUCCAAUGCACAUCACUGAUACCUCAGGAAUGAAAAAGGGUGUAGAAGUAAUUUGAAUCAUUUCCUACAUCCUUUGUGGUUCUAGUAUUCUGAGAGAUAACAAUACUAAGAUGGGAUGAAAAUAAAUUUCUCAGGAGUCUA
rnacentral:lncRNA from 1 species